GGUGACAGAGUGAGGGAGUGGGUGACUUAGUGAGGGGGUGGGUGACUAGUGACAGAGGGAGGGAGAGGGGGUGACUAGUGACAGAGUGAGGGAAUGGGUGACUAGUGGCAGAGUGAGGGAGGGAAGAGAUGACUAGUGGCAAAGUGAGGGAGGGAAAUGGUGACUAGUGACAGAGUGAGGGGAUGACUGGUGACAGAGUGGGGGGGGGGGUAACUGUCACUAGUCACCCCAUCCCUCUCUCUGUCACUGUGUCACCCGCUCCCUCACUCUGUCACUAGUCACCCCCUUACUCUGUCACCCCCUCCCUCACUCUGUCACUAGUCACCCCAUCCCUCUCUCUGUCACUAGUCACCCCAUCCCUCUUUCACUAGUCACCCCAUCCCUCUCUCUG